rfam:Streptococcus urinalis 2285-97 final_molecule, whole genome shotgun sequence.
AGUUCCUUUAAAACUGUCCAGAGAGACAGGCAAGGAGAAGAACAGGUCAAGCCCUUUAUAAGGGUAUAUUUUGUGAGGUCUCCUUGUAGGUAAGGAGACCUUUUUUCU